UGUUCUGUAGCAUAGUUGGUUAAAGCGCCGCUCUAGCGAAUACGGAACCGUGGGUUCAAAUCCCACCAGAACGC
rnacentral:tRNA from 1 species